UACGAGAGGCCCAAACGUUAUUCGGAAUUACUGGGCGUAAAGCGUGCGUAGGUGGUGAGUUAAGUCUGUCGUGAAAGCCCCGGGCUCAACCUGGGAAUGGCGAUGGAUACUGGCUCGCUAGAGUGCGGUAGAGGAGAGUGGAAUUCCCGGUGUAGCAGUGAAAUGCGUAGAGAUCGGGAGGAACAUCAGUUGCGAAGGCGGCUCUCUGGACCAGCACUGACACUGAGGCACGAAAGCGUGGGGAGCGAACCGG
rnacentral:rRNA from 1 species